AGAGUGGGAAAAUUCUUAAGUAGAGGUGACAGACCUAUCGAACUUAGAGAUAGCUGGUUUUUUAAGAAAAGAAUUUUAGUUCAACUUUAAAUUUUCAUAUUAAAUAAAAAUGGUCUUAAAUUUAAAAGUUACUCAAAUAAGGCACAGCUUAUUUGAAACAGGACACAACCUAAGGUUUAGGGUAAGACAACAGAAUUUUAACAAGUGGGCCUAAAAGCAGCCAUCUUCAAAAAAGCGUCAAAGCUUAGCGAUUUUAACUUAUUUAAUACCUCCCCUCGUUUCUAACCCACACACACUAUUAAAAAACUCCAUAAAAUUAUGGAAGCUAUUAUGCUAGAACAAGUAACAAGAAAUAGACUUUCUCCAAAAUGUAGGCUUAAGCCAUAAUAGACACUCUACUGGCAAUUAACGUGCAUAAACCCCUUGUAAUAACCCUAACAAGAAAAC
rnacentral:rRNA from 1 species